UUCUUCCUUUUGGAUCUUAGAAAGGAAACACACGGCAGAUACAGCGCAUUAUGCAAGGGCCCCAGCUGGCUCUGGGGCCGCUCCGCUCCCCAGUGUCCAGCAUCUCAGCAGUUCUGGAGGUAAAUAGAGACGAUACCCUGAGCGGGUAGUCAGGGAGCCCGCUGCUGGAAAGGUGUUCAAAGUCCCAGAGACACACGGAAGGUCCUUCAACAAUACAGCGAGUUUCCCAUGAGCGUGCGCUCCGCUGGCGACUGCGAUUUUCCUGACACCUGCGGAAGAGGAAGAUCUGUUCAGCUUGUCUCUCCCAUGACACUUAAUUUCGGCUUCUAUCACCAGGACGCCGACAGGCCCACACUCUUCCUCACCGAGAACUCUGCUCAGCCCUGGGUGUUGAAUUUGGCUGUGGGCUCAGCCGGAGGGCAGCCGGGGGCAACAGCAUCCAGCAGAGACCGAGAGAUUGUAGUUAAAGCCAGUCUUUCGUGGCGAUGACCCAUCCAUGGUGAAAAAUGAAUUACAGGCAAUGGAAGAGGAAACAUCACCAGAAAAACCAAACCAAGAGAUAAUUUGGGAUGGUAUAACCUUUGAAAUAAGUAUGGUAAACUAAAAAAAAAAAAAAAAAAAAAAAAAAGAAAGAAAGAAAGAAAGAAAAAGACAAAGAAAAAAAAAAAACCUGUUUGAGAAAGGUAUUUUCCCCCUAUCUUAAUAGUUAGACAAUUUACGUAAACUUAAAAUAUCCGGAGCUGAGACCCUGUCCCAGUUACGUGGGAUUGCAAGUGUCAUUCUCUGACACAAACCACGUUGCUCUGAGAGCUGUUGCUGUAUGUCCUCUCCAUGUCACAUCCUCCUGGGGACAGGUGAUGCUCGCAUCUCAAGCCUUAGACGCACAUCUCCCGGGUGCUGGACUCACUGAAGGAGGAGCAGAGGGGAGGGUGCCUGUCCUCCUCCUCGCCCUCGGCUGACUGCCGACAAGGACUGAGAAAGGUUUUCCAGCAGAUGGAUGCCUACAGCCCAGGGGAUGGACCGUAAGAGCUGCAUUAUGUAACCCUUCAGGUAUCCAGGCAUGUGACACUCAUGGAAACUGACAAGCUGGCAUCCAACAUCCUCGUAACUGACCCGAUUAGAAAAACAUACGUUAGCCACAGGCAAAACACUGUAGUUGCUUCAGGAACCCUACUGCUCCUCUCAAUAUUGACCUCGUGCAUUUGUGGUACCCCCCCAGUCUCCUUCAUUACAGUGUAGUCAUUAUCAGGAUAAAAAGUCCACAGCUUCUCAUACCUUUUAAAAAUAUUUCCUUAAAAUGAAAGACUUCAAUGGCUUCUGACAUUUUAGGUGAGAUCUUUAUGAUAUAAAUGUAACUGCAUGAUACAGUCCCUGAUGAAAUAUUUAAUGACUGAGAGAAAGAAUAAAUUUCUUCCCACAAAAUGG